rnacentral:tRNA from 1 species
CUUCUUGUGGUGUAGUUGGCAACGUACCUGUCUAGUGAGUAGGAGUCGUGAAUUCGAUUCUCACCGAUAAUA